CCAUGCCGCGUGCGGGAAGAAGGCCUCGGGUGUAAACCGCUUUGGCAGGACGAAACGGCGCAAGCCAAUACCUUGCGCUAAUGACGGUACCUGCAGAAUAAGCACCGGCUAACUACGUGCCAGCAGCCGCGGUAAUACGUAGGGUGCAAGCGUUAAUCGGAAUUACUGGGCGUAAAGCGUACGCAGGCGGCUUUGCAAGACAGGUGUGAAAUCCCCGGGCCUAACCUGGGAACUGCAUUUGUGACUGCAUCGCUAGAGUCUGUCAGAGGGGGGUGGGAAUUCCACGUGUAGCAGUGAAAUGCGUAGAGAUGUGGAAGAACACCGAUGGCGAAGGCAGCCCCCUGGGAUGAGACUGACGCUCAUGUACGAAAGCGUGGGGAGCAAACAGGAUUAGAUACCCUGGUAGUCCACGCCCUAAACGAUGUCUACUAGUUGUCGGGGGGUAACUCCUUCGGUAACGCAGCUAACGCGUGAAGUAGACCGCCUGGGGAGUACGGUCGCAAGAUUA
rnacentral:rRNA from 1 species